rnacentral:lncRNA from 1 species
GUUCUUCCUCUCCCUUUCCAUUUUAAUAGCAAACACAGCAUCAACCAUGCUAGCUACUUCCAAUGUCUAUUUUUCAAUCUCAUAACAAUCUAAGAGCUAGAUUGAUAUGAUCUCUAUUCUACCCAUGUGAAAACACUCUCAGAGACUUUAAAUAAUUUGCCCAAGGUCACACAGUUAAUAAGUAGCUGAGCUGAGCUGUGAACCUAAGGAGUUUUCACACUGUGCCAAGCUGCCUUUUGUCUGCUCUUUCUCUGAUCUGGACAAGCAGGACUGACAGGAACCCUAGGCAGAAGACCCAUAUGGACAGUCAUCAGCCUCUGCUAAAACAUUUUGACUGCAGAUCAGCCUUAAGGACAAGCUUGGUCUUGAUUUGCUAAAUGGGGCAUGCAAGAAUUUGGACAAAUCCUUUCUCAAGAAAAUAGCCUGCCAUGCUGGGCAUUGUCUGGUUGCACAAUCUGACUUCUAAUGUCAAGAGCUGAAUAUUACCUACUCUUUCUCUGCUUAUCUCUGCUUUAAUUUUAAUCUCCUCUCAGAUGGAUGGAUAUUCAGGUCAGAUUAGGGUGGAAGUUUUAGGAAGGCAAAAAGACAAAAUAACAUUAGAGUUUAAAAUUAUUUGUCAUGGAAAAUCUGCAUUUUUCUAUGACUCAUUCUGCUUUAGGAUUAUAAUUGUCCUUCAGUAUCUAUGGGAGUUUGGCUCCAAAAGCCUCAAGGACACCAAAAUCCACUAAGCUCAGGGCCUUUAUAUAAAUGUCAAAGUAUUUGCAUAUAACCUAAGUAUAUCCUCCUACAUACUUUAAGUCAUCUCUAUACAGCAUUGAAUACAAUAUAAAUGCUAUAUGAAGAGUUUUCAUACUACAUUGUCUAGAGAGUAAUGACAGAAAAAAUACAAACAUAUUCAGUAUGGAUGCAAUUUAAAAAGUUUUAUGAUCUGCCACUGAUUGAAUCCACAAAUAUGGAACUCAUGGAUAUAGAGCCUCACUGUACACAAGAACUCUGGUAUCUUGUUAGCAUGUAUUUUCCUCCUGGACAAAGGAAGGCUAGGUGUCAUUUCCACACCCUCUGACUUAGUUUCAUUUGCUGGCCUUCUAGCAAAAGUAGAAUAUAACAGACUCUAUAUUGCCGCUUACUAUACUUGUAUUAUGCUUAUCAAAUUUAGUACCUAUUGUAUCACUUAGGAAUUGCACUUGAUUAUAAAUGAAAUACAAAAUCAAUCACCUUAAAUUAAAUUUUUUUUCUAUCUAAUAAAAGUAUAGUCAUAGUUUACCCUGCAGUUAGACUGAGCCAUAUGAAUUGUUCUGACUAAUAGACUGUAGGGAAAAUGAAAUGUCUCCUUUCUGGGGUGAAGCAUAAAAAAGCAGCCAGGGAUGCUCAGUGGCACAGUGCUUACCUUAUAAGCACUUGGUCCUGAGUUCAACCCUCAGUACUGCAAAAAAAAAAAAGCAGUCAUGACAACUGCUGAACAUAUGCAUUUGAGAUGGUGUAGCAAGGUGGUAGAGCUGCUGCCCCCCAAUCCCUACGUGAUAUAUGCAUCAGAGCUACCCUAACAACCUGCAAUGGGUGUGAAGUGAGAAAUAACUUUUGUCAUGUUAAGCCUUUGAUAUGCUGGAAUUCAAUUGUUACUGCAGCAUAAUCUAAUCUGAUCAAUACAAAUGAGACAGGCAAAGGACAAAAGGCACAUGUCUGUUUCCUUCCAUCCAUUUUUAAGGAUAUUUUAUGGAAGCCACAUUCAAUGUCAUUAACUUAUUAACCAGAGGUCUCUUAUAGGGUGUUAUUGUUUAGAUCUAAAAUGUCUCCCAUGUAUGUACCAACUCCCUAUGAUGAAUGUAAUCAUGAUGUACUGCAAACAUAUAC